CCUACGGGAGGCUGCAGUGGGGAAUAUUGCACAAUGGGGGAAACCCUGAUGCAGCGACGCCGCGUGAGUGAAGAAGUAAUUCGUUACGUAAAGCUCUAUCAGCAGGGAAGAAAAUGACGGUACCUGAGUAAGAAGCCCCGGCUACCUACGUGCCAGCAGCCGCGGUACGACGUAGGGGGCAAGCGUUAUCCGGAUUUACUGGGUGUAAAGGGAGCGUAGACGGUGCGCCAAGUCUGGAGUGAAAUGCCGGAGCUUAACUGCGGAACUGCUGUGGAAACUGGAGAACUAGAGUGCGGGAGGGGUAAGCGGAAUGCGUAGUGUAGCGGUGAAAUACGUAGAUAUUAGGAGGAACACCGAUGGCGAAGGCGGCUUACUGGACCGUAACUGACGUUGAGGCUCGAAAGCGUGGGGAGCAAACAGGAUUAGAUACCCUAGUAGUC
rnacentral:rRNA from 1 species